rnacentral:tRNA from 1 species
UAGCUCAGUUGGUAGAGCAUGGUGUUUGCAACACCAGGGUUUGCAACACCAGGGUUUGCAACACCAGGGUUGUGGGUUCGAUUCCCAC